rnacentral:rRNA from 1 species
UGGCAGUCAGAGGCGAUGAAGGGCGUGCUAAUCUGCGAUAAGCGCCGGUAAGGUGAUAUGAACCGUUAUAACCGGCGAUACCCGAAUGGGGAAACCCAGUGUGACUCGUCACACUAUCAUUAACUGAAUCCAUAGGUUAAUGAGGCGAACCGGGGGAACUGAAACAUCUAAGUACCCCGAGGAAAAGAAAUCAACCGAGAUUCCCCCAGUAGCGGCGAGCGAACGGGGAGGAGCCCAGAGCCUGAAUCAGCAUGUGUGUUAGUGGAAGCGUCUGGAAAGGCGCGCGAUACAGGGUGACAGCCCCGUACACAAAAGCGCAUGUGCUGUGAGCUCGAUGAGUAGGGCGGGACACGUGGUAUCCUGUCUGAAUAUGGGGGGACCAUCCUCCAAGGCUAAAUACUCCUGACUGACCGAUAGUGAACCAGUACCGUGAGGGAAAGGCGAAAAGAACCCCGGCGAGGGGAGUGAAAAAGAACCUGAAACCGUGUACGUACAAGCAGUGGGAGCCCCACCACCAAAGCAUUUGCUGUACCGCGUUGACGGAGCGAAGCGACGUCAAACCGAUAAAACAGCAGUGUAAAGUGAGCCGCAGGGCGCUUUGCGCGACAGCGCAAAGGCAGGCGGUUUCGCGUAGCGAAAGCGAAUGCUUUGGGGUGGGGUGACUGCGUACCUUUUGUAUAAUGGGUCAGCGACUUAUAUUCUGUAGCAAGGUUAACCGAAUAGGGGAGCCGGAGGGAAACCGAGUCUUAAUUGGGCGUUAAGUUGCAGGGUAUAGACCCGAAACCCGGUGAUCUAGCCAUGGGCAGGUUGAAGGUUGGGUAACACUAACUGGAGGACCGAACCGACUAAUGUUGAAAAAUUAGCGGAUGACCUGUGGCUGGGGGUGAAAGGCCAAUCAAACCGGGAGAUAGCUGGUUCUCCCCGAAAGCUAUUUAGGUAGCGCCUCGUGAAUUCAUCUCCGGGGGUAGAGCACUGUUUCGGCUAGGGGGCCAUCCCGGCUUACCAACCCGAUGCAAACUGCGAAUACCGGAGAAUGUUAUCACGGGAGACACACGGCGGGUGCUAACGUCCGUCGUGAAGAGGGAAACAACCCAGACCGCCAGCUAAGGUCCCAAAGUCAUGGUUAAGUGGGAAACGAUGUGGGAAGGCCCAGACAGCCAGGAUGUUGGCUUAGAAGCAGCCAUCAUUUAAAGAAAGCGUAAUAGCUCACUGGUCGAGUCGGCCUGCGCGGAAGAUGUAACGGGGCUAAACCAUGCACCGAAGCUGCGGCAGCGACACUGUGUGUUGUUGGGUA